rnacentral:rRNA from 1 species
GAUGAACGCUGGCGGCGUGCCUAAUACAUGCAAGUCGAGCGGACAGACGAGGAGCUUGCUCCUCUGACGUUAGCGGCGGACGGGUGAGUAACACGUGGAUAACCUACCUAUAAGACUGGGAUAACCUCGGGAAACCGGAGCUAAUCCCGGAUAAUAUAUUGAACCGCAUGGAUCAAUAGUGAAAGACGGUUUUGCUGUCACGUAUAGAUGGAUCCGCGCCGCAUUAGCUAGUUGGUAAGGUAACGGCUUACCAAGGCAACGAUGCGUAGCCGACCUGAGAGGGUGAUCGGCCACACUGGAACUGAGACACGGUCCAGACUCCUACGGGAGGCAGCAGUAGGGAAUCUUCCGCAAUGGGCGAAAGCCUGACGGAGCAACGCCGCGUGAGUGAUGAAGGUCUUCGGAUCGUAAAACUCUGUUAUUAGGGAAGAACAAAUGUGUAAGUAACUAUGCACGUCUUGACGGUACCUAAUCAGAAAGCCACGGCUAACUACGUG